UGGGGAAUUUUGGGCAAUGGGGGGAACCCUGACCCAGCGACGCCGCGUGAGUGAAGAAAUUCCUCGGAAUGUAAAGCUCUGUUGUAUGGGAAGAUAAUGACGGUACCAUACGAGGAAGCCCCGGCAAACUACGUGCCAGCAGCCGCGGUAAUACGUAGGGGGCAAGCGUUGUCCGGAAUUACUGGGCGUAAAGCGCACGCAGGCGGAAUUGUAAGUCCGUUGUAAAAUUCAGAGGCUCAACCUCUGUCUGUCGGCGGAUACUGCAAAUCUAGAGUAUGUGAGAGGGAAGUGGAAUUCCUGGUGUAGCGGUGAAAUGCGUAGAUAUCAGGAGGAACUCCGGUGGCGAAGGCGACUUCCUGGCACAAGACUGACGCUCAUGUGCGAAAGCUAGGGUAGCGAACGGG
rnacentral:rRNA from 1 species